AAACAAGCCCUAAUUCGAAAAUCCCUGGUUCGAGAAUCUCUUCGAGGAAAUCUCCAGAUCUCAGGAAGGUGUCUGUAGAUGAAGAGAGUCCUGAGCUAGGACCGUUGUUAUUAAAGCAAGCGAGAGAGAUGGUUUCAUCCGGCGAGAACCUAAACAAAGCUCUUGAUUUAGCGUUACGUGCGGUGAAAGCUUUCGAGAAACGCGCCGAAGGAGAGACGCAACAAGGGUUGAAUCUGGUCAUGUCUCUACAUAUAUUGGCAGCUACCUACGCCGGUUUAGGCAAGUACAACGAAGCGGUUCCCGUUCUCGAACGGUCCAUCGAGAUACCGAUGAUAGAAGACGGAGAGGACCACUCCUUAGCUAAAUUCGCAGGGUGCAUGCAGCUCGGCGACAUGUACGGCCUAAUGGGCCAAGUCGAAAACUCUCUUCUCCUCUACACAGCGGGUUUGGAGAUACAAAGACAAGUUCUCGGAGAAACAGACCCACGAGUGGGCGAAACUUGUCGGUACCUAGCAGAAGCACACGUCCAAGCGAUGCAGUUCGAAGAAGCCUCAAGGCUUUGCCAAAUGGCUUUAGACAUACACAAAGAGAACGGCUCCACAGCUACAGCUUCCAUCGAAGAAGCCGCGGAUAGAAAACUAAUGGGCCUUAUCUGCGACGCCAAAGGUGACUACGAGGUGGCCCUCGAGCAUUACGUUCUAGCCAGCAUGGCUAUGUCCUCACAGAACCAUAGAGAAGACGUUGCGUCUAUAGAUUGUAGUAUCGGUGACGCCUACAUGUCUCUAGCUAGGUUUGACGAGUCGAUAUUCUCGUACCAGAAGGCCUUGGCUGUGUUUAAACAGUCCAAAGGUGAGAAUCAUUCCUCGGUUGCUUCGGUCUACGUCAGGCUUGCUGAUCUAUACAACAAGAUAGGGAAGCUGAGAGAUUCGAAGUCCUACUGCGAAAACGCGCUAAGGAUAUACCUAAAGCCGUCUCCGGGGACUCCGAUGGAAGAGGUGGCGACGGGUUUUGUAGAGAUCUCCGCGAUUUAUCAGUCGAUGAACGAGCUUGACCAAGCGCUUAAGCUGCUGAGACGCGCGUUGAAGAUAUAUGUGAAUGCUCCGGGUCAGCAGAACACGGUUGCUGGUAUUGAGGCUCAGAUGGGUGUGAUCUCUUACAUGAUGGGGAACUAUCCUGAGUCUUAUAACAUCUUCAAGAGCGCGGUUUCGAAGUUUCGAAACAGCGGAGAGAAGAAGACGGCUAUGUUUGGGAUUGCUUUGAACCAAAUGGGACUUGCGUGCGUCCAACGUUACGCGAUCAACGAAGCUGCGGAUUUGUUUGAAGAGGCGAAAGGCAUUCUUGAGAAUGAGUAUGGGCCGUACCAUCCCGACACGUUGGCGGUUUACAGUAACCUUGCCGGAACAUACGACGCAAUGGGCAGGUAUAUUACUAACACAUCUUUUUAGUUUAGGUUAUGUUUUUGAAGUUUCUUGCGGUGUAAGCAAUGUGUUUUUUGGUUUGUAGGUUAGAGGAUGCGAUAGAGAUACUAGAGUAUGUUGUUGGGACAAGAGAGGAGAAGCUUGGGACGGCGAAUCCGGAGGUUGAGGAUGAGAAGCAGAGGCUAGCUGCGUUGUUGAAAGAAGCUGGAAGAGGAAGGAUCAAAAGAAACAGAGCACUUCUUACAAUCUGGAGCUGAGGCAUCUCGUGGGAGGAGAUGUCGGAGAGAGAAAAAAAGACGUUGUCUUGGAGAAGAAGGAAGAAAGCAACAAGGAAAGUAAAAACAGAGAAGGUAGCUUGAGCCACAAGAAACCAGAGAAACUUGCGAAAACAAGCCCUAAUUCGAAAAUCCCUGGUUCGAGGAUCUCUUCGAGGAAAUCUCCAGAUCUCAGGAAGGUGUCUGUAGAUGAAGAGAGUCCUGAGCUAGGACCGUUGUUAUUAAAGCAAGCGAGAGAGAUGGUUUCAUCCGGCGAGAACCUAAACAAAGCUCUUGAUUUAGCGUUACGUGCGGUGAAAGCUUUCGAGAAACGCGCCGAAGGAGAGACGCAACAAGGGUUGAAUCUGGUCAUGUCUCUACAUAUAUUGGCAGCUACCUACGCCGGUUUAGGCAAGUACAACGAAGCGGUUCCCGUUCUCGAACGGUCCAUCGAGAUACCGAUGAUAGAAGACGGAGAGGACCACUCCUUAGCUAAAUUCGCAGGGUGCAUGCAGCUCGGCGACAUGUACGGCCUAAUGGGCCAAGU
rnacentral:lncRNA from 1 species